GGCGAGUGAAGCGGCAACAGCUCAAAUUUGAAAUCUGGCCUCUUCGGGGUCCGAGUUGUAAUUUGUAGAGGGUGUUUCGGGCGCGAUGCCGGUCUAAGUUCCUUGGAACAGGACGUCGCAGAGGGUGAGAAUCCCGUACGCGACCGGCGAUCAAGCCUGUGUGAAGCCCCUUCGACGAGUCGAGUUGUUUGGGAAUGCAGCUCAAAAUGGGUGGUAAAUUUCAUCUAAAGCUAAAUAUUGGCCAGAGACCGAUAGCGGACAAGUAGAGUGAUCGAAAGAUGAAAAGCACUUUGGAAAGAGAGUCAAACAGUACGUGAAAUUGUUGAAAGGGAAGCGCUUGCAAUCAGACCGGUCCGGAGGCGAUCAGCCGCUGCUCGUUCAGCGGUGCACUCGCCUGCGAUCCGGCCAGCAUCGGUUUGGGCGGUGGGAUAAAAGUCCCGGGAAUGUAGCUUCUCUCGGGGAGUCUUAUAGCCCGGGUCGCAAUGCCGCCUGCCCGGACCGAGGACCGCGCUUC
rnacentral:rRNA from 1 species